rnacentral:rRNA from 1 species
AGGGAAUCUUCCGCAAUGGACGAAAGUCUGACGGAGCAACGCCGCGUGGGCGAAGAAGGUUUUCGGAUCGUAAAGCUCUGUUGCCGGAGAAGAACAGGCGGAGGAGGAAAUGCUUUCGUCUUGACGGUAUCCGGCCAGAAAGCCACGGCUAACUACGUGCCAGCAGCCGCGGUAAUACGUAGGUGGCAAGCGUUGUCCGGAAUUAUUGGGCGUAAAGGGCGCGCAGGCGGUUUCUUAAGUCUGAUGUGAAAUCUUGCGGCUCAACCGCAAGCGGUCAUUGGAAACUGGGAGACUUGAGUGCAGAAGAGGAGAGUAGAAUUCCACGUGUAGCGGUGAAAUGCGUAGAGAUGUGGAGGAAUACCGGUGGCGAAGGCGGCUCUCUGGUCUGUUACUGACGCUGAGGUGCGAAAGCGUGGGGAGCAAAC